rnacentral:rRNA from 1 species
GACGAACGCCUUCUGGGUGCUUAACACAUGCAAGUCGAACGGAAAGGCCCUGCUUUUGUGGGGUGCUCGAGUGGCGAACGGGUUUUUAACACGUGAGUAACCUGCCCUUGACUUUGGGAUAACUUCAGGAAACUGGGGCUAAUACCGGAUAGGAGCUCCUGCUGCAUGGUGGGGGUCGGAAAGUUUCGGCGGUUGGGGAUGGACUCGCGGCUUAUCAGCUUGUUGGUGGGGUAGUGGCUUACCAAGGCUUUGACGGGUAGCCGGCCUGAGAGGGUGACCGGCCACAUUGGGACUGAGAUACGGCCCAGACUCCUACGGGAGGCAGCAGUGGGGAAUAUUGCACAAUGGGCGGAAGCCUGAUGCAGCAACGCCGCGUGCGGGAUGACGGCCUUCGGGUUGUAAACCGCUUUCGCCUGUGACGAAGCGUGAGUGACGGUAAUGGGUAAAGAAGCACCGGCUAACUACGUGCCAGCAGCCGCGGUGAUACGUAGGGUGCGAGCGUUGUCCGGAUUUAUUGGGCGUAAAGGGCUCGUAGGUGGUUGAUCGCGUCGGAAGUGUAAUCUUGGGGCUUAACCCUGAGCGUGCUUUCGAUACGGGUUGACUUGAGGAAGGUAGGGGAGAAUGGAAUUCCUGGUGGAGCGGUGGAAUGCGCAGAUAUCAGGAGGAACACCAGUGGCGAAGGCGGUUCUCUGGGCCUUUCCUGACGCUGAGGAGCGAAAGCGUGGGGAGCGAACAGGCUUAGAUACCCUGGUAGUCCACGCUGUAAACGGUGGGUACUAGGUGUGGGGGCCAUUCCACGGGUUCCGUGCCGUAGCUAACGCUUUAAGUACCCCGCCUGGGGAGUACGGCCGCAAGGCUAAAACUCAAAGGAAUUGACGGGGCCCCGCACAAGCGGCGGAGCAUGCGGAUUAAUUCGAUGCAACGCGUAGAACCUUACCUGGGUUUGACAUGGAUCGGGAGUGCUCAGAGAUGGGUGUGCCUCUUUUGGGGUCGGUUCACAGGUGGUGCAUGCCUGUCGUCAGCUCGUGUCGUGAGAUGUUGGGUUAAGUCCCGCAACGAGCGCAACCCUUGUUCACUGCUGCCAGCACGUUAUGGUGGGGACUCAGUGGAGACCGCCGGGGUCAACUCGGAGGAAGGUGGGGAUGACGUCAAGUCCUCCUGCCCCUUAUGUCCAGCGCUUCACGCAUGCUACAAUGGCUGGUACCGAGAGCGGCGAGCCUGUGAAGGUGAGCGAAUCUCGGAAAGCCGGUUCUCAUUUCGGAUUGGGUUCUGCAACUUAACCCUCUGAAAUCGGAAUUCGCUCAUAACCGCAAAUCAUCAACGCUGCCGCGAAUACGUUCUCCGGGGCU